rnacentral:misc_RNA from 1 species
GGACGUGUAAUGAGGGCUUU